rnacentral:tRNA from 1 species
GGAGAGGUGCCCGAGUGGUUGAAGGGGGCGGUCUCGAAAACCGUUGAACUGGGUAACUGGUUCCCAGGGUUCGAAUCCCUGCCUCUCCG